AGGCUCUUCAUUGGUGUGGAUCUGAUCAAAGAUGAGGCCACAAGGACACCAGCAACUGAAGAGGCUGCCUACUUGGUAUCAAGACAUGGAAGAGAAGGUGAGAAGUUGUGAAACGCUGAGGCUCCAGCCCUAAGCCAGCCCUGCUCUGCCUAGGUGUACUCCAGAAGAAACUCAUCUCAUCCAAAUACACGCUAUUGAGAAGGCGAGCCUGACCUCCCUCUUACAGAUAAAGUCAGCUUUCAGAGGCUCAGGGUGGGGGGCCUGCCCAAGGCCAUAAUGCUACCCACCCCCUCCUCCUAACCACUGGUCUGUUGGGAUAACCCAGAUGUCUGCAUCCCCUCAAGUCAGUCAAUUUCCUUUCUGUCCACUGGGGGUGGAAUGGGGUAGGGUGGGGUACUUUAAAGUGCUCCUGCUUAAAUAAGUUAGACCAGACCAGUGUAUUUCUAAAGAAAAUCCUGACAUGCACACCCAUUAAAAAUAGUACAUUUUACAGUGUCCCAGUCAUACUUUUAAUUGGCAAAUUAAAAUAAUGCAAUCUGAUAUAUUCUAUCCUACUAAAUUAAAAAUACUGAAUAUAACCAACUAAAUAUACUUACUCCUAAGACUCACUACCAGUAGUUUCACUUAAACUCUGCCUUAGAGGCUCUUCCCACCCAUUUCCCAUUAUGGCACAUAGAGAAAAAGGCCUCUAUCACUGUCCACUGGAGUAAUAACCACUGCUUCCCCUAACUGCCUCAAAGACUGUCAUUUUAUAGAAAAUUUAAGACUAUCCUAAUCCACUCUUCCCAAACUCCCAGCCA
rnacentral:lncRNA from 1 species